ACUCCUACGGGAGGCAGCAGUGGGGAAUUUUGGACAAUGGGCGAAAGCCUGAUCCAGCCAUGCCGCGUGCAGGAUGAAGGCCUUCGGGUUGUAAACUGCUUUUGUACGGAACGAAACGGCCUUUUCUAAUAAAGAGGGCUAAUGACGGUACCGUAAGAAUAAGCACCGGCUAACUACGUGCCAGCAGCCGCGGUAAUACGUAGGGUGCAAGCGUUAAUCGGAAUUACUGGGCGUAAAGCGUGCGCAGGCGGUUAUGUAAGACAGUUGUGAAAUCCCCGGGCUCAACCUGGGAACUGCAUCUGUGACUGCAUAGCUAGAGUACGGUAGAGGGGGAUGGAAUUCCGCGUGUAGCAGUGAAAUGCGUAGAUAUGCGGAGGAACACCGAUGGCGAAGGCAAUCCCCUGGACCUGUACUGACGCUCAUGCACGAAAGCGUGGGGAGCAAACAGGAUUAGAAACCCCAGUAGUCCCAUGA
rnacentral:rRNA from 1 species